rnacentral:lncRNA from 7 species
AAAUAGGAAGAAAUAUCUUUGCUCAGUUACUAUUACUUGGCUGAAUACAUUUAUGUACAUAUACUACAUAUACACUAAUUUUAAAAGGUGUGAAGCUUUGCAGAAUACUUGGCCUUCCCUCCCAUCGCUGAAUUUCAAUAUUUGCAUCCAUUCUACUUUGUGUUCUUCAUUACUUUGUCUUUAAUUCCAUGGAAUUGGCUUAUCAGCAAAUAAAACCUAACCAACUAUGUGAAAAGCAACUCCCUGUCGAACUGAAUUGAGGAAAUGCAGUUCUUAAUUUCAAGCUUUUCUUUCUUUCAGGAGUUUUCAGGAGCACUCAGUGCUCCUUAUGGGCCCUUUCCAACUCUGGAUAUUCUGUUGCUGUGGAUCAUCUGUUCUCCCACUCUAAAUGGUUUGGUUUAUUACAGAUUCAAAAGCUCUGUAUGGUGCAGCUUUUUGGAGCAUCUGAUUAUAAAGCCAUAUUCUGCAUACAUUCAGGAUAAGAUACACUGCAGCACUGAGAGAUGUGGGCUUUGUUCCAGGAGCGUUUGUUCUCACAGGCUUACAGUGCUGAGUAGCUGCAGCCGGUAGGCAGGUUCUCGCCUUUCCUUGUCAUUCCACAUAGACUCACCACAGCAUUUUUCAUACUCCACAACGAAUUAUCCAUGCAUUAUUAGAUAGCCUUAUUUCCCAACACCUCUGCCUAAUCCCAUGCUGUACUUUUCUUGCGUCCUGCAGUAACUUUUGUAGUGAUGCAACCCAGAGAUCUGAUUUUACUCUUUGGGGUAUGAUACAAUUACAGAGGUGGGUUUUUAAAAGCACUGCCUUCAUAUAGCAUUGUGCAAUUGAUAGCAUAUUGCAUUCUUUCUGCUACCUUAUUGUUGAAGUGAUGGAACAGCAUCUUCGUUUUCCACUCUAAUAAGCAGAACAUAUCUUGAGGCUAGAACUGAGUAGAAGAAAUUUAACCCUGGAUUUGUGUCCGAGGAGUACAUAAAUACUGAAAGCAAGGAUUUUCUCAGGACAACAACUGAAGAGAUGAAGAGAAACACAAGUGCUGUUGUAAAUGCCUGCAGACUCAGAUCCUGCCAGAGGCUCCAGGUGCAACAGGAGAAGCCAGCAGAGGGAGGCACGCCCAUUUUUACUGAAAGGAUUGGAAAAGGGUACUGGAGUGAAACUGCAGUUGUCUACAAACAGAAGGAUUCUUCCACUUGCCAGCCACACGUCUCUGUCAAGAAAAAAAGAAGUUUGAGCUGCCAUUAUGAAAUUUUAUUCAAACAAAGUUAACAGUUUUGCCUUGUUUUGAUGUCCCUCUGGUUGGUUUUCAGGUGCCUCUCUGCAGCUCUGCAAGUCUGAUUUCUUGCUCGCAUAAGCUGCAAUCUAUCUGUGAAUUAUUUUGUUCCAGUAGAUGUGUUUUAAAGAAAUAUAGCUGAUGCUGAAAAAGUAGAGGACAUCUUAAGAGCUGUGAUUUGCUAAACAGGGUAACUCAACCUGAUUUGGUGUAACAUUUCAGCCUGAGGGGGUUCUCAGCUCUGCAUACAAGCCUGCAUUGCCAAGCCACUGCCCAACAAUGCAAUGCAGGCCUUAUUAACUGCAUAUGGCCCAAAGAAGCUUGUGCAGCCCCGAUUCUUCAGAUUAUCCCAUCAAAAUUGUAGCUUUACAAAUUGCUUUGGGUUUUUUGGGGUGGUGAGAGGGGAUGAGAUGUGAAAGAGCGAUGAUGGAAAGGAAGAAAGAGAGAAGGCAAGAGAGAAAGAGAGGCAAGUUUCUGGAGCAAAGGGCUAAAGAACUUGCAGGCUCCUUACAAUCUCCUGUUACUGAACCAUUUUAAAAGUUGAACCAAAGUUUGGAGAAAAAAUAUUUUUUAUUUACUUCAAGCUGGGGAAAGAUCUCUCUCUCUUACUGUUGCAACUUCUUUUCACAGCUUUUGCAAAGGAGAAGAGUGGAAGACCAAAGACAGUGUCUUGAAAGAAAAUAGUCUUUAUUUCGAGGAUUGGAAGAAGAGAAAAAGUUAAGGCUAAGAAGAGAGUUGCUCAGAGGAGUUUGGCCAUAUUAAGAGCAGAGCUGGAAGUUAUCCCAAUGUGUAGGAAGGACGAGAUGACAGCGAGAAACCAGCUCACCCAAUGAGAUGUUCAGUGACCUCAAACAAGAAACUGGUUUUGCAGGGCUGCUCUGUAAAUCAGAUCAACAAAAUGAUCUGUAUUAAUAAAGAACACAAGACCUGUUUUUGUCCUC